CUGCUGCCUUCCGUAGGAGUCUGGUCCGUGUCUCAGUACCAGUGUGGGGGACCUUCCUCUCAGAACCCCUACGCAUCGUCGUCUUGGUGGUCCGUUACACCGCCAACUAACUAAUGCGACGCAUGCCCAUCCGCCACCGGAAUUAACCUUUGGCACCAACAGGAUGUCCCGUCGAUGCAUUAUGCCGUAUUAGACGGAAUUUCUCCCGAUUAUCCGGCUGUGGCAGGCAGGUUGCAUACGUGUUACUCA
rnacentral:rRNA from 1 species